GACGGAGGGUGCAAGCGUUGUUCGGAAUUACUGGGCGUAAAGGGCGCGUAGGCGGUCUGUUAAGUUCGGUGUGAAAGCCCCGGGCUCAACCUGGGAAUUGCAUUUGAGACUGCAUAGCUAGGGUGCGGAAGAGGGAAGCGGAAUUUCCGGUGUAGCGGUGAAAUGCGUAGAUAUCGGAAGGAACACCAGUGGCGAAAGCGGCUUCCUGGUCCAGCACCGACGUUCAGGCACGAAAGCGUGGGGAGCAAACAGG
rnacentral:rRNA from 1 species